UACGUAGGGUCCGAGCGUUGUCCGGAAUUAUUGGGCGUAAAGGGCUCGUAGGCGGUCUGUCGCGUCGGCUGUGAAAACACGGGGCUCAACUCCGUGCCUGCAGUCGAUACGGGCAGACUAGAGUUCGGUAGGGGAGACUGGAAUUCCUGGUGUAGCGGUGAAAUGCGCAGAUAUCAGGAGGAACACCGGUGGCGAAGGCGGGUCUCUGGGCCGAAACUGACGCUGAGGAGCGAAAGCGUGGGGAGCGAACAGG
rnacentral:rRNA from 1 species